AAAAAUAAAUGUUUUGAUUAAGAUGAACUGUAGCUCAAGUAUAGAGUGAGGUCUAUCCCUUGCACUCUUGGCAGGCUGGCUCCUGAGAGUUUCCACAAAUGUAGGAAACUUAAUUGCACCGUUCUGUGGGAAUGGGGGACUGCACUUGUGCUUUCCCCCU
rnacentral:snRNA from 1 species